rnacentral:lncRNA from 1 species
UUGUCGCCGUCUGUCGGAGUGAGAGACUGCUGCCGCCGUCCAUCGCACUCAAGAACUUCCGUCUUCGUGCUCUCGGGCCUCUCGCCGGAUCCUCCACGUCGGGUGCUCGCAUCUCGCCGUUCUCCUCUGUGCUCGGCUGCUCGCGCCUCUCUCCGCCAGUGAGUGCUCGAGCUGUGCGUGUUGGUUGCUGCUCGUCGUCCGUGGUUGUCUCUGCUCGAUUCUGCCUCCCAGUCUCACUCGAGUCUCGUCUCAGUCACUGGCAUCUCGUGGUUCGUCUGUCUCGUCGCCGGCGGCAGAAGCAACUCGUGGGGUUGUCUCUUGCUUCGUCGCCUUCCGUGGGGUGGUCGCCGACUCGCCGUCGACCGUUGGUGAGUCCCUGCACCAUCGCUUCCCUGUUCUCUCUUUUCAGAUUUCCCUUCUCCCUGUAUUUUUGCAUGUUGCUGAAUUGCUAAUCAAAUUUGCCUUGUUGCUAAUCUAAAUGUUGCUGUAAAUCGGGACUUUACUUGGAUUUGUUAAAUUUGUUGCUGUAACUUGAAUUUGUUGCUGAAUUUGUUGCUUCCCAGUCACAGAAUCAGAACAGAAUACUCAGUCA